ACGGAAGGCAGCAGUGGGGAAUAUUGCACAAUGGGCGAAAGCCUGAUGCAGCGACGCCGCGUGAGCGAAGAAGUAUUUCGGUAUGUAAAGCUCUAUCAGCAGGGAAGAAAAUGACGGUACCUGACUAAGAAGCUCCGGCUAAAUACGUGCCAGCAGCCGCGGUAAUACGUAUGGAGCAAGCGUUAUCCGGAUUUACUGGGUGUAAAGGGAGCGUAGACGGCGCAUUAAGUCUGAUGUGAAAGGCCGGGGCUCAACCCCGGGACUGCAUUGGAAACUGGUGUGCUUGAGUGCAGGAGAGGUAAGCGGAAUUCCUAGUGUAGCGGUGAAAUGCGUAGAUAUUAGGAGGAACACCAGUGGCGAAGGCGGCUUACUGGACGGUAACUGACGUUGAGGCUCGAAAGCGUGGGGAGCAAACAGGAUUAGAUACCCUGGUA
rnacentral:rRNA from 1 species